GGCAAGUCGAACGAUGAUGCCCAGCUUGCUGGGCGGAUUAGUGGCGAACGGGUGAGUAACACGUGAGUAACCUGCCCUUGACUUCGGGAUAACUCCGGGAAACCGGGGCUAAUACCGGAUAUGAGCCGUCCUCGCAUGGGGGUGGUUGGAAAGUUUUUCGGUCAGGGAUGGGCUCGCGGCCUAUCAGCUUGUUGGUGGGGUGAUGGCCUACCAAGGCGACGACGGGUAGCCGGCCUGAGAGGGCGACCGGCCACACUGGGACUGAGACACGGCCCAGACUCCUACGGGAGGCAGCAGUGGGGAAUAUUGCACAAUGGGCGAAAGCCUGAUGCAGCGACGCCGCGUGAGGGAUGAAGGCCUUCGGGUUGUAAACCUCUUUCAGCAGGGAAGAAGCGCAAGUGACGGUACCUGCAGAAGAAGCGCCGGCUAACUACGUGCCAGCAGCCGCGGUAAUACGUAGGGCGCAAGCGUUGUCCGGAAUUAUUGGGCGUAAAGAGCUCGUAGGCGGUUUGUCGCGUCUGGUGUGAAAACUCGAGGCUCAACCUCGAGCUUGCAUCGGGUACGGGCAGACUAGAGUGCGGUAGGGGAGACUGGAAUUCCUGGUGUAGCGGUGGAAUGCGCAGAUAUCAGGAGGAACACCGAUGGCGAAGGCAGGUCUCUGGGCCGCAACUGACGCUGAGGAGCGAAAGCAUGGGGAGCGAACAGGAUUAGAUACCCUGGUAGUCCAUGCCGUAAACGUUGGGCACUAGGUGUGGGGCUCAUUCCACGAGUUCCGUGCCGCAGCAAACGCAUUAAGUGCCCCGCCUGGGGAGUACGGCCGCAAGGCUAAAACUCAAAGGAAUUGACGGGGGCCCGCACAAGCGGCGGAGCAUGCGGAUUAAUUCGAUGCAACGCGAAGAACCUUACCAAG
rnacentral:rRNA from 1 species